CUUUUUAUCACCAAAAAAAAAAAUUGUGGGCGGGAAGAGUAACAGUCUGAGUAUAAACAGAAGCUCCGAAGAGAACGAGUGCGCUUGGGCCUUCAGCUACCGUGACUUUAGCAGUCUCGACGACUGUCUCACGAAAUUCAGCACCACCGGUACGCCGCCGUGGUUGCUCUUCAGAGCACCAAAACGUCCAGACCCAAAGCUCGCCCCUUCUCUCUGACGCUCUCGCCGGUUAUGCGAGGCAAGUCCAACUAUUUGUGAAAAGUUGCGAGUAGCAGGUGGGUUGGAGACUUUCGAGUUUCCAGUUCAUUUUUUUAGAUGAAUUAUGGUGCUGAGGUGUAGUGGGAGGCACUGAGUCUGAGGGGGAAGAUGCUUAAUCGGCUAAGUCGGCUGUUGCUUUUGCACUGCUGCUCCGAGAAUAAAUUGAAGACACAAACUAAUACGUACAUUGUAGCGCUUUGUGGACCAGUCACAAGCGGCGUUCCUUAGUCACCUGUACAAAUUCUAAUACAAGUUAUAGAUGCCCUUGACAAU